rnacentral:rRNA from 1 species
AGGUAUCCUUCUGGCAAGGGUACUGUACUAAACUAACUAAAGUGGGGGAUAGUGAGGGGAUAAAUUUUCUUAAGGAACUCGGCAAAAUCCCAAUGGCCCACCAGGGCAUAUUGGAACACGGGCCUCGACUGUUUACCAAAAACAUAGCCCUCGGCUAAUAUGAAAAUAGAUGUAUAGAGGGUGAUGCCUGCCCAAUGGUUGUAUCUAAAAGCGGUUGAUAAAAGUUGACCUCGUAAGGACAAUUGAAUGGCCGCGGUAACACUGACCGUGAUAAUGUAGCGUAAUCAAUAGCCAAUUAAUUGUUGGCCAGUAUGAAUGGCGCCACGAAGGCCCCACUGUCUUAAGGAAAUUCCCAGUGAAAUUGAAUUCGUAGUGAAGAUGCUACGUCCAAUUUGUUAGACGAAAAGACCCCGUUGAGCUUUACUGGAGCACUUACAUGGCCCCGGCCUUCCCAUGCCUGGGAACCGGCCGAAUUUAAAUGGGCGGCUUAGAUUAUGUGGCAGCCCCCCGCUGGGGCAAAUGAAACACCACUCCCCCAUGUCAAAGGGGCUAACCCCCCCCCCUUGGGGGGACAGUGUAAGUAGGACAGUUUGGUUGGGGCGACCACCUUUUAAAAAGUAACGAAGGUGCGCUUAAGGUGCGCAAUUAAUGACUGAAGCCUGACUGCGAGGGGGACACCCCGAGCAGACACCCCAAAGCCCGCCCGAAAGGCGGCGGUGGGGUGGGCCAUAGUGACCCGUUAAUUUAGAGUGGAAUAGUUAACGAUCAACGAAUAAAAGUUACCACGGGGAUAACAGCGUAAUAUCGUUAGAGAGUUC